CUUUAUUUAUAUUAAAUAUAGAAAUGCACUGACAAAGAUUAGCAAUGUGACUUAUAUAAAGUAAAAAACAAUGUAACAGCAAAUGUCUUUUCACAGACUCAUGCUUCAGGAGGCCAAGCCAGUCUGAGAGUAACAACCAAGACUCUGCCAGAAGUCAUGAACUUUACCAGAAUGUGGCUCAACCUGAUGUAUACUCUACUCUCCUGCACGGUGAUGCCAGUGUCUACGAAACACUGAAAAUCUCUGAGGACAACAACGCUGGGGAUGAUUACGUCAACCAAUCAGUAAGGCACUGAAGACACUGAAAAUGUUCUUUGAACUCACAGUUUGUAAAUUCCGCCGCCAGGGGACUACCACAAAAGACGACAUCAAGGCUGGCGGGGAAUCAUGGGAGUGAUUCUCUCUGCUACUCUGUCCCCAACCCUGAUGAAAAUGAGCUAAGAGUUGACCGUAGUGAAGACAAACGAGUGAAACCGACCUGAGGAAGAGAAUAUGUUUACAGACGAUGUAUCCAAGUCUGAUUUACAUGAAGUUUUUAUCACAGCAGCACAUACAGCAACAGUACGGUGUUUCCAUGGCAACGUUAUACAUGUCGUGUCUGUCAUGGAGGCUCGGUCAUGGUGGUCACCACGACAACACGGCUUCUGUUACUAUAAUAUUAAGGAUUUCUCUGGCUUUGAUAACUGUUGGAAAUAUUUGCGGUAAUGUAAGUACUAGACAGAUAAUAUAUUUGUAACAUAAGUUUAGUCAAUUUCUAAUUAUUUAGAUAUUUAAGUGUAAAAAUUCGUAUGACUUUCUACAUAUUGUAUAUUUAAAGGAGCUGAUUAAAUUACAUAAAUUAUGUUCACAUCAUUACUUAACAUGCAACUCUGCUUUCCAACUAUCACAAAUGUUCAAGGGUUAGUACAGUUCAUUCAUUUUCUGGUUAAAUAAGAGUGACAGAAUAUGUAUUACAUUACUCAUACUAGCUAAAAGCUUACAAUUAUUACCAGAAUGUUCUUGACUAUUCUUAUUUUUAGAAGUAAAUAUUUUAUUUUGUCAUUUAUCUGUCAAUUUUGUGUAUUAAACUCUGGAUACGAGUUGUUUCAGCUGCUUCAUACUGUAUAUUUUAGCUUGAGCACCCAGUUGAUAGUGCAGCUUUAAAUUCGGCUUCUUUGUCAGUGUUGGCUUCCAAAGAUCCCGGAUGGACAUCAACAUUACUUUUAUAUCUGUGAUGACCUGCUCUCAACCAACAUAAUCAUUUACAUUAUAGUUUAUUGAACUGUCAGUAAUUUGUAUCUUAAUUAUUUCAUAGUUAUGUAUUGUUAAAGUAUUUCUGCUGUAAUGUUCCUAAUAAAUGUUUUAAA